AUUGAACGCUGGCGGCAUGCCUUACACAUGCAAGUCGAACGGCAGCGGGGGAGAAGCUUGCUUUUCCUGCCGGCGAGUGGCGAACGGGUGGGUAAUACAUCGGAACGUGCCCUGUAGUGGGGGAUAACUAGUCGAAAGAUUAGCUAAUACCGCAUACGACCUGAGGGUGAAAGUGGGGGACCGCAAGGCCUCAUGCUAUAGGAGCGGCCGAUGUCUGAUUAGCUAGUUGGUGGGGUAAAGGCCUACCAAGGCGACGAUCAGUAGCUGGUCUGAGAGGACGAUCAGCCACACUGGGACUGAGACACGGCCCAGACUCCUACGGGAGGCAGCAGUGGGGAAUUUUGGACAAUGGGCGAAAGCCUGAUCCAGCAAUGCCGCGUGUGUGAAGAAGGCCUUCGGGUUGUAAAGCACUUUUGUCCGGAAAGAAAUGGCUCUGGUUAAUACCUGGGGUCGAUGACGGUACCGGAAGAAUAAGGACCGGCUAACUACGUGCCAGCCGCCGCCGUAAAAC
rnacentral:rRNA from 1 species